rnacentral:rRNA from 1 species
AUGGGGAAGAUUGGAGCAUCGCUCUCCUCUGCUGCUGCCAAGGCGCUACUGCUAGUGCUAGCCUUCAUCAACCUCGCGAUCCAGAGGCUGCUGCUGCUCAGGCGCCCCAAGAGCAAGAUAGCGAGCGGUGCCGGUGGUCACAGCUCUAGCAUUACUAAUGGUACGUCGGCGGCGGCUCUCCCGCCGGGGCCGGUGCCUUGGCCGGUGGUGGGGAACCUCCCUGAGAUGAUGUUCAACAAGCCGGCGUUCCGGUGGAUCCACCAGAUGAUGGAGAAGAUGGGCACCGACAUCGCCUGCGUCCGCCUGGGCGGUGUCCACGUCGUCGCCGUCACCUGCCCCAGCAUCGCCCGCGAGGUGCUCAGGAAGCAGGACGCCAACUUCGCCUCCCGCCCGCUCACCUUCGCCUCCUCCACCUUCAGCGGCGGGUACAAGAACGCCGUGCUCACGCCGUUCGGCGACCAGUGGAAGAAGAUGCGCCGCGUGCUCACCUCGGAGAUCGUCUGCCCGUCCCGGCACCGGUGGCUCCACGACCGCCGCGCUCACGAGGCCGACAACCUCACCCGCUACGUCUACGCCCUCUCCACGGGGUCUGCGUCCGCGUCGGGCGUGGACGUGAGGCACGUGGCGAGGCACUACUGCGGCAACGUCAUCCGCUCGCUCGUCUUCGGCCGGCGUUACUUCGGCGAGCCUCAGCCGGACGGAGGGCCGGGCCCAAUGGAGGUGGAGCACAUGGACGCCGUGUUCACGUCCAUGGGUCUCCUCUUUGCGUUCUGCAUCUCCGACUACCUCCCUUGGCUGCGCGGCCUGGACCUCGACGGCCAGGAGAAGUUGGUCAAGGAGGCAAACGCGACGGUGAACCGGCUCCACGACACGGUCAUCGACGAGCGGUGGAGGCAGUGGAAGUCCGGUGAGAGGAGGGAGCUCGACGACUUCCUCGACGUGCUCAUCACGCUGGAGGACGCCGAGGGGAAGCCGCUGCUCGCCAUCGAGGAAGUCAAAGCGCAAUCGCAGGACAUAACAUUUGCGGCGGUUGACAACCCGUCAAACGUGGUGGAGUGGGCGUUGGCGGAGAUGACGAAUGCGCCAGAGGUGAUGUUGAAGGCGAUGGAGGAGAUGGACCAGGUGGUGGGCCGAGAGCGGCUCAUGCAGGAAUCGGACAUUCCGUAUCUCAACUAUGCCAAGGCAUGCAUUCGUGAGGCAUUUCGGCUGCACCCGGUCGCCCCUUUCAAUGUACCACAUGUUGCCCUAGCCGACAUCACAGUCGCCGGUUACCGCGUGCCCAAGGGCAGCCACAUCAUCGUCAGCCGAACUGGGCUUGGCCGAAACCCGGCCAUCUGGGACGAGGCGCUCUGCUUCAAUCCAGAGCGCCACAUGAAUUUGGCUGAUGGCGGCGACGUGGUGCUCACGGAAAACGAGUUGCGGUUCAUCUCCUUCAGCACCGGCCGCCGCGGAUGCAUCGCAUCGUCGCUUGGGACAGCCAUGUGUGUGAUGCUCUUUGGACGGCUACUACAGGGGUUCACUUGGAGCAAGCCGCCGGGGUUAUCGGCCAUUGAUCUCAGCGAGUCAAAGCAUGACUUAUUCAUGGCCAAGCCGUUGGUGCUGUAUGCCGAGCCACGCCUGCCGAUGCAUCUCUACUCCACCACCAACAUCUAA